rnacentral:rRNA from 1 species
CCUAACGAACGCUGGCGGCGUGCUUAACACAUGCAAGUCGAACGAUGAAGCCUAGCUUGCUAGGUGGAUUAGUGGCGAACGGGUGAGUAAUACGUGAGUGACCUACCUUUGACUCUGGGAUAAGCCUGGGAAACUGGGUCUAAUACCGGAUACGACCAAUCUCUGCAUGGGGUGUUGGUGGAAAGCGUUAUGGAGUGGUUUUAGAUGGGCUCACGGCCUAUCAGCUUGUUGGUGAGGUAAUGGCUUACCAAGGCGACGACGGGUAGCCGGCCUGAGAGGGUGACCGGCCACACUGGGGACUGAGACACGGCC